CAGUAGCCACGGUAAUACAGAGGCCUCAAGCGUUGUUCGGAUUCAUUGGGCGUAAAGGGUGCGUAGGUGGCUUGGUAAGUUGAAGGUGAAAUCUCGGGGCUUAACCCCGAAACUGCCUUCAAUACUGCUAGGCUCGAGGACUGUAGAGGAGAAUGGAAUUCACGGUGUAGCAGUGAAAUGCGUAGAUAUCGUGAGGAAGACCAGUGGCGAAGGCGAUUCUCUGGGCAGUUCCUGACACUGAGGCACGAAGGCCAGGGGAGCAAACGGGAUUAGAUACCCGCGUAGCCCUGUCUCUUAUACA
rnacentral:rRNA from 1 species